rnacentral:rRNA from 1 species
AUGGACGCGACGGGGGCGCUGCCGCCGACGUCGACUCAGGAGCAGCAGAAGCAGGAUGAAGUAGGCGGUGGAGACGGCAGCUACGGCGUGCUCCUGUACUACAAGUACGCCGAUGUCCCCGACGCCCCCGCGCUCGCGGCCUUCUACGAGUCCCGCUGCCGCGCUCUGGCGCUCGUCGGCCGCGUCCGCGUCGGCCCCGACGGCGUCAAUGCCACGCUCGGGGGAAGAGUGGCGGCGCUGGAGAAGCACAUCGAUGAGAUGAGCUCGAACAGCCUGUUCGACGGAACCGACUUCAAGCUGGCCUCCUGCGAGGAGCCUGUCGACGAGAGGGUCGCCAGGGAGUGCGGCUUCACGUCGCUCUCCGUUCGGCUCGUCAAGGAGCUGGUUACGCUUUGUUCCAACCCAUCAUUGACAACCCCCGAUAUCUCAUUCGCCGGGAGGCAUUUGUCAGCGGCUGAGUUCCACUCGGUGCUUCAGAGUGUUGGAACUGGUUCGGAUACUGAGGCGCCUGCGGGGCAGAAUGAUGUGGUUGUUUUGGAUGCAAGGAAUCUGUAUGAGACGCGGAUCGGCAAGUUUCAUGUACCAAAUGUGGAGACGCUGCAUCCUGAAAUCAGACAAUACAGUGACUUGCCAUUGUGGAUAGAUGAGCAUACUGAGAAGCUACGUGGUAAAUCAAUUAUGAUGUACUGCACAGGAGGUAUACGGUGUGAGAUGGCCUCAGCUUAUAUCCGCUCCAAAGGUGAAGGCUUUGAGAAUGUUUUUCAAUUAUACGGUGGCAUUCAGAGAUAUUUGGAGCAAUAUCCAGAUGGUGGCUAUUUUGAUGGAAAGAAUUUUGUAUUUGACCAUAGAAUCUCUGUGGGAAGCAAUAAAGAUAACAUACUUGGAACUUGUUUGGUAUGUGGAUCUACCUAUGAUGACUAUUCCUCUCGGUGUCGUUGCAGCAAUUGCAGAAUGUUGGUCUUAGUGUGCUCCACAUGUCAGGAUUCUACUAAGGAGUAUGUAUGUGAACUAUGUCUAAAGAAUGGAAAACAGUGCUGUGAAAUAUCUGUAAAGCAAGACUGCCAAGCAGAGCCAGAGCUAUCUGAGCCUUCUGACAUUGGAAAGCUAUCCAUAAGCAACAAAAUUUCAACCUCUAAAGCUCCCGGGAGUAAUGGUAGUGAGCAGCUGAAAAAGUUGAGGAUUCUCUGCUUGCACGGUUUCCGUCAGAACUCUUCAAACUUUAAGGGGAGAACAUCAUCGCUUGCGAAGAAGCUGAAGCACAUCGCGGAGCUUGUAUUUAUAGACGCUCCUCACGAGCUUUCAUUUGUAUACCAACCACAUCCAGAUGUCUGCUCCGACAAACCCUCACCUCCAUCUGGCACAGCGAAAACAAAAUUCGCGUGGCUAGUUUCUCCAAACAUGAGCUGCCACACCAUGCAAGAUUGGAAGGUUGCAGAUGCACCGUUUGACCCCCUUCAGUAUCAGGAACAAACAGACGGGUUCAAGGAAUCAUAUGCAUACCUUGAAAGUAUAAUUGCUCAGGAUAGCAACUUUGAUGGCGUUCUCGGUUUCUCCCAGGGUGCAGCAAUGGCUGCCUUACUGUGCAGGCAGCAGCAGAAGACUUGCGGAUCUCCAAAGUUCAGGUUUGGGAUAUUCUGCUCUGGAUAUCCAGCACCUGUUGGCGAUUUUGACAGAGAGCCAAUCAGGCUCCCCUCGCUCCAUUGCUUCGGCGGCGGUGAAGGUCAUGACAGGCAGAUCGCAAGCAGGGCAAGCACUGAACUUGCUGGCAUGUUUGAGGAGGGCCGGUGCACCAUCAUUGAGCAUGACAUGGGGCAUAUCAUCCCUACCCGGCCACCCUACAUCGAUCGGAUGAAAGAGUUCCUAUGCAAUUUCAUAUGA